rnacentral:lncRNA from 1 species
UUGCUACAAGACUCAAAAGGAACACAUUAGGGACCACUUCAAGCUCCCGACUUCUCCUCCCAGUUCUGUCCUUUUCAGCAGUGUUUUUCAGUGCGUGUGAUGAACCCCUUAGCUCUCGCCCCCCGCCUCGUUCUGCUCCAUUGCCGAAACCCCAACCCUAGGGGGAAAAGGGGGGGAUAGAAUUUAAAGGACAACGAUGGCGACGGCAGCGGUGACGAUGACCUGCAUCAGGAAAAAUCGGAAGUACCCCGAAAGUCGUGAUGACGUCGGAGGCAUGCACCACCACCGUGUACUCCACGACGACCACCAUCCUAGGUUCUUCGGCA